GGCAUAGCGCCGGAUGAACGGAUAACUCUGAUGACGUUAAUUAAGGAGCGCGCCUCCCUAUGCCU
rnacentral:tRNA from 1 species